rnacentral:rRNA from 1 species
AACGAACGCUGGCGGCAUGCCUAACACAUGCAAGUCGAACGAGACCUUCGGGUCUAGUGGCGCACGGGUGCGUAACGCGUGGGAACCUGCCCUUAGGUUCGGAAUAACUCCCCGAAAGGGGUGCUAAUACCGGAUAAUGUCUUCGGACCAAAGAUUUAUCGCCUUUGGAUGGGCCCGCGUUGGAUUAGCUAGUUGGUAGGGUAAAAGCCUACCAAGGCGACGAUCCAUAGCUGGUCUGAGAGGAUGAUCAGCCACACUGGGACUGAGACACGGCCCAGACUCCUACGGGAGGCAGCAGUGGGGAAUAUUGGACAAUGGGCGAGAGCCUGAUCCAGCAAUGCCGCGUGAGUGAUGAAGGCCUUAGGGUUGUAAAGCUCUUUUACCCGGGAUGAUAAUGACAGUACCGGGAGAAUAAGCUCCGGCUAGCUCCGUG